AAAUGAACAAUGAAAGGGACGAGUAUUAUAGAGUACAAUUUAUAGAGAGGGAGUGUCACCGACUGUAAGCAUUCCUAAAUAUGACUAUAAGAAAACUAACCCUAGAGUUAUGGCUGAUUAGCUAAUAUUAGUAAAAUGCCAUCGGUAAAUACCGUUAUAAAAUUUGAGAUGAAUUGAGUUAUUUUAAUUCAAUUUGGGUGGAACCAUGGAUGUUAUGCAUUCGUCCCAAGG
rnacentral:ncRNA from 1 species